rnacentral:tRNA from 1 species
GCCGACUUAGCUCAGUUGGCAGAGCACCUGUCUUGUAAACAGGAGGUCGGAGGUUCGAGCCCUCUAGUCGGCAUCA